rnacentral:lncRNA from 1 species
AUUGACACUAAAUUAGCCAGUCUUGUAUGUAUAAAUACCACUUGUGGCACUUGUCGUAUUAAGUUUGUUUGUUGCGUUCUUGGCAAAGUGUAUUUGUUCUAUUUUUGUCUAUUUUGGUUAUAUUUUUGUGCUCGUAUGGCCAACUCCGCAUGAAAUCUAAGCCACUCUAUCUGAUACAAGCGCAAUGAUUCACAGGACCAGCGGCUUUGAUCAAGGGUUGGUCUAAUUGUUGGGUUGGAUAUUCUAUCUUUAGAAUAUAUCAGACCAUUGCAUCUCAUAAAUCGCAAAAUCUGUAGUUAUUCACGAAGAUGUGAAAAUAGCAACAGUCAGUUGAAAAGAGGAAACACUUGGGUAUCUACAAUACGAUACCGUAGACGCUUACCUACCAUACACAGUACUCUGUAUACAUUACGGAGUACACUGGGUGUGGCUUGGCUUGGCUCCUGCCAGUGCCCGGGACCAAAUUCCCAGCCAGUCAAGCCAAGGCUCGGGAUUAAGGUAUGAUACGUGUAUACGGAAAAAAUCAUACUCAUAGACAUGCAAAAGAAGCAAAUCCUUCUGAAACUGGACCCCGACAUGUAUCCCAUGUUUCGCUCAGGGUUUUGUCCUACGUUGGAGAUCGGGAUAACCACAUAAAUCCCUCGUUGAUUGCUCAUCAAAGCAAGGUACACACUAAACACCCACACAUACAAAUCUAUCAUGCUCUGCAUGACACCUGCAUUUUGGCCCCAAAUCGUACAGGUAGGGGAUCUGUUCCGGCAUGGAGUACUCCGGACUGGCCGCGUGUGCUAAUGUACUCCAUGAAAUUCGACUACGGGGUGUAUACAUGACUGGUGGCGACAUCCGGACUUGACAGCGCAUUACAAUUAUCUUUUUUUUUUGGAGAAGGUAGUAGUCGUUCUCAAUAAUGAGUCCAAGAACCAACCCCCUUAUCCAGUCAUUGACUACCAUUAACCACUCAAUAUACACGAUCAUGCAGAACCACCACCCAUUCCUAUAGACUAGCGAAUCUGAUAACAUAGUCACUCUGUACGUGGUUUACAUAUCCAUGCCCUGUGUACGUACGCACGCAAGUCUUUUCACCUGCAGAACGAUCUGCAAAAUGUUCGAUUCGUGAUUGGGUGGCUCGUACUUUUCUUUCCUUCCCUCAAUAACUAUCCCUUCUUAAGUCCGGUCGCCAAUCAACACUUUUCAUUUCGAUUUCUUUUCGGGGAGUAUGCAUUAUCCUGGGGUGCUAUCACCUGAUAGUCUGAUAGUACAUGCAUACGAAACAUUUGACUCAUUUUUCUAGAAGGUGGGCUGGAGAAUUCUCUAAUCCCUGUUGUGCAGCGGUGUAACCGUGUGACUUUUGACUGUGCAACGAUUCUUUUCUUCUUCUUCUGCUUUUCGAGACAUGUUUCUGAUUCCAUGCCACACCAAUGGUUCAACUUAUCUGCUCUCCAGUUCGAAUACAGUGGGGCCGGGGGAAUGUAGGAACCCAUGAUAACCGGAAGGAUAGAUCUACAUCGUUACUUGUUUGGGUAACCCAUCAGUUGGUUGUGCUACCACCACCCACCAAUCCCGUCCCCACCGAAUAAGGAACUACGCAGGAAUCACCGAUUAUCUAAAUGAUCGACAAUCUCCAAACCAAAACACCAAUUGCAAUUCGGUACGAAGAUACUCAUCGCAUUGCAUACUAUAUAUGUAGCAGCUAGUCAAUAAUCACACUGAAAAUACAGAGCGACAAGCGUCGUAGAUACUAGACACUAAGACCCUACUGCCAACUCGUGCCAAGUCACCUUAACUGGGCUGUAUGAGUCAGGCUCGUUGGUAGUGACAUCAAGACCGCCAUACAAAAAAAAAAAGGCGCGUUGGUUGGUUGAUCUGUUGGUUGGAAUUGUCUGUCUCAUGUGGAGAUUUGAGUUUUGAAUCUAUUUUCGCACAGCCCAUGUUUAAAUUUAUCUUUGUUGGGCUAACGGGCUUGGCUAACAAAGUUAAGUUGACUAGAUACUACUACGAGUACGUACGUAUAUAACUAGUAGACGGCCUAUUCUAAGUUUCUAACAGUCGCCUCGUCGGCUAGUCAAAACCCGAGCUCAAAUUAAUAACAAUGUCCAUUAUUAAGCGUCGGAAGCGCACCUCUGAGUCUCUGACAAAUAACCUAUCCGGUGUUUGGCAGCCGAUCAUUCGCGGGUCAAGAAUAUCAGAAGGGGGGGAGGGUACUGCAGAAAAAGGAAAUAUUCUAGAAACCCUGGGAGAAGCAGGGUGCACAGACCUGUCGGUUCGUCUCGUUUUGUUACAGCUAAUACUGUGUAACAUCUGUAUCCCCUGUACGGAGUACGGUGUACUCCGUACGUACUGUAUGAAGACAUGGGGAUCAAAUCA